rnacentral:lncRNA from 1 species
CCCGUAUCAUUUGGUAUCAGAUUUUGGGCGUUUUGGGUGUUCUUGGUUGAUUUCUAAACUGAUCUCUAUUUUUUAAAGCACAAACAGCAGUUUUACCCAGAAAAAUUGUUCAAAAAAAAUUCAUUUGGGUGGGUAAACGUUGUCCGAUUGAUCUGAAAUUUUACAUACAUAUUUGUGGCACUGUGAUUGAAUAUAAAAAAAUUAUUCCCGCAAAAAAAAUCAGUCAAAAAAGUCAAAAAAUCAAAAAAUACGAAAUUCAAUAAAAAAUUAAAAAAAAAUCCAGCGGGUUGAAUUUGGUGUCCAAAAUUUCCAGAUCAAAAAUUCAAUAUUUAAGGACAUUCCAGAUUUAAUUUCGUGAUUUUUAGAGAUCGGGAACACCUCGAACGAAGUUGUCAAGUUACUCCGCAG